rnacentral:tRNA from 1 species
GGCGCGUUGGUGUAAUGGAAGCACCUCGCACUUUCGAUGCGAAAGCGCGGGUUCGAAUCCCGUACGCGCCC